UUGCCGCUUUUCAGAAGCGAUUUGUUAAACUAGCGUAGGUGAAUUUAGUCAGGGAUCGAACAGAACAUCGUUUUACAAUAUUUGGACUGAUAAAGAGGUGAUCCAAGGAGAAAUGUGAUGGAUUUUGUUCUGAUGGAAAAGUUUGAGGUUGUGACUUGAAGUUGAUGAAAAUAACCGUACACAAAUUUGCGGCCGUAGGUAGCUCUACCUUCAGCCAGUUCAAUAGUUCUUCGAUUUCACUGCGUUGAGACUGUGCGAAUAAGGUGCCUUUUGGCUCUCAGCACAGUUUUGUCAACAACUUCCUUGUAGUUGUUUUGCCUGCUGCUCUUUAAACAUGUCAUUCAUACAUAUUCCACUGCUGAAGCCCAAGACCUGGUUAUGCUUAGCAUAUCAAGGCACAUUCCAGCCUAUUUUUGGAGAUGUGAUGUUUUCCAAAAUCUGAGGAAAAUUGCAUAUUGUUCCUGUUGUCAUACUUGAGAACAAAUGAUGUUUUGUAUCAGUAACUGCUGACACUGCCAGAAUAAAACUGAGAUGGAAAUUUUGUAAAUCAACAAAAUAUAAUAAUUCUUUAUUCUUCCAAUGGCAAAACUUUAAGCAGGUACAUUGUAGUUUGAAGUAAAUGCCUAAAGUAAGCCAACUUGUGAAAUAUUGGAAUUAUUCUUUGCUGCUCUAAAUGUGACUGCCUCUCACUGAUGGCAUGUCCAUCUGCAUGCACUAUUGUACUGAUGAGGAUGUAAAAGAGAUGUAGUGCUGCAUAGGUCUCACAAAAUGCCUGCAUAUCAUCAAAUCUGUAUAGAGAUUGACCCCCACUCUCAUAGUGCCAGUAAAAGGCUAACUGAAAUUUUUCUACCGGCUCUGCAAAAUUAUGUAAUAAUGUAUUAAACCAGACUCUGAGUUAUGUAGAAAUAUUUCAACAAUAAACAUGUGUUUACUUGUAAAAUA